UUAUAUUACAUUAAAGGAACUUGCCUCCAUAUACUACAGUUAGACAAUGGAGAAAAACAUUAAGAAGAAUGUAAAUAUUUAUAGAUUGUUGAGAUGAAUUUUCAUAUUCUAAUAAUAUCAAAUUUAUAUUGAACUAAUCAUUAUAUCAAAAGUUAUGCAUAAAAUAAAUCUACGGGUCCAUGAAUUAGUGUUUUUGUUUUUUCAUAACUUAGGCCAUAUCAAUUCGCACAAAUUUCCAGAUUUGAUAUACAUAUAUUCCUGUAAUUAUAAACCAAAAAUCAAGGCCUAAUAGUGAACGAUAUAUCAUGUAGUAUUAAAGAGUGUUCUAGAUUCGAAAUCAUAUAUAACAUCAAAUAACAUGGCAUGUCUCAUGCAAAUACAUUCAAAAUAUCUAAUACUUUCUAUGUAUUUUCAUGUCUUUUACACACACUUAUUUUAGAUACAAUAAAUGUGUUUAUAUAGAAGCUAAUGGGAGCGAUAGAAGCCAACCAAAAGACUUAACAACUAUUAGAGUCCAAUUAAACUUACGAUAGUCAUAUAGAACUCUUUUCAAAAGAAGCUUCUAGAUUGUUUUUUAUGUUGAGCCGAUCCAACUCAUCAUAGAUUCUAAUUCCAACAUAUAUGCACUAUGUUUUGAAGUUAUGUCCAUUUCUUUUAUUGUAUAUUGAAUUUGACGUACUUCAUUAACUAAUUAUUAAAAUAAUGUGUACUUUACCUCAAUAUCACUUUACCUCAAUUAAACUCCAAAAGGACAUCAUUAUAUAACCUUAAAGUCCAAAAGAAUAUAUAAUGAUGUGGACAAAAUAGCUCCACUAAGCUCAUCAAAUCAUCAAUAGUGUGUUUACUUGUUGGAUUAGAGAAUCGAAAUACAUAAAAUAGAAAUGAUCAAUGAUAUUUACUUAUUAAAAUAGAAGAUGAAUAUGAAUGAUAUAUAUGAGACCUACAGGUUUUGGGGAUUAAGGAAUAGGAACUUGAUUUCGAUGGCGGAUUGGAAAUAAGUUCUCAUCCCUUGAACUUCCCAUUUAUUCUCGUAUUAGAGUGAAAAUCUCGAGAAGCAAGAAUUUUUUAUAUUGGGAGUAUAGAGUA
rnacentral:lncRNA from 1 species